GGUCUUUGUACAUUAUGAUAUGUAUCUCCAUCAUUUGUGUCUUGUUCUAUCAUCUCUGCCAUUCAUUGCAGUUAUGUCACUUGGUCUAGUCUUCACAAAGGUAUUCUUGUCUCAGGUUACGGCCCUUCAUAUCAGCACAACCCCAUAAGAAGCUGGCUCUGGACCAGAUAGCCAACCCCCUGCCGGCGAUCUCUGAGGCGGCGCCCCACACUGUGCUGAUAGAGAGUGGGCCUGUGGUCUAUGAUGAUGUGGGAGAUGAGGAGGAUGAGGAAGAGCCCUGCAGCUGUUGGGAGGCAACGAGUAUGGAUGUGAUGACGAUGAUGGAUUCUAGCACUACUGGGUCUGGCCUGUUUCUCUGGACUGUCAUGCCACUGUAUCAGCCCUCCGACCCCUGUCCACAGACUUACACAUGACACAUGACUUGUAUGCUCUCAGGGAGGUUGGAGGUGAUGACGAGGGUCCGUUUCUCCUCAGGAUAUCUCCUUUAACUAGGAAAGAGGUUGUGGGUAGUAUUGUGCUGGAUCUAACAAAGAGACAUUAUGGUUAGUCUAUCUUCCUUCCUACAUUUCACAGGUCACUCAAGUAUAUGUCC